rnacentral:rRNA from 1 species
GACGGAGGAUGCAAGUGUUAUCCGGAAUCACUGGGCGUAAAGCGUCUGUAGGUGGUUUAAAAAGUCCACUGUUAAAAAUUGAAGCUUAACUUCAAAGAUGCCGUGGAAACUUUUAAACUAGAGUAUGGUAGGGGUAGAGGGAAUUUCCAGUGGAGCGGUGAAAUGCGUAGAUAUUGGAAAGACCACCGAUGGCGAAGGCACUCUACUGGGCCAUUACUGACACUGAGAGACGAAAGCUAGGGGAGCAAAUGGG